rnacentral:rRNA from 1 species
GUGCCAGCAGCCGCGGUAAUACGUAAGUCCCGAGCGUUAUCCGGAUUUAUUGGGCGUAAAGCGAGCGCAGACGGUUAAUUAAGUCUGAUGUGAAAGCCCGGAGCUCAACUCCGGAAAGGCAUUGGAAACUGGUUAACUUGAGUGCAGUAGAGGUAAGUGGAACUCCAUGUGUAGCGGUGGAAUGCGUAGAUAUAUGGAAGAACACCAGCGGCGAAGGCGGCUUACUGGACUGUAACUGACGUUGAGGCUCGAAAGUGUGGGUAGCAAACAGGAUUAGAUACCCUGGUAGUCCACACCGUAAACGAUGAACACUAGGUGUUAGGAGGUUUCCGCCUCUUAGUGCCGAAGCUAACGCAUUAAGUGUUCCGCCUGGGGAGUACGACCGCAAGGUUGAAACUCAAAGGAAUUGACGGGGACCCGCACAAGCGGUGGAGCAUGUAGUUUAAUUCGAAGCAACGCGAAGAACCUUACCAGGUCUUGACAUCCUUUGAAGCUUUUAGAGAUAGAAGUGUUCUCUUCGGAGACAAAGUGACAGGUGGUGCAUGGUCGUCGUCAGCUCGUGUCGUGAGAUGUUGGGUUAAGUCCCGCAACGAGCGCCACCCUUAUUGUUAGUUGCCAGCAUUCAGAUGGGCACUCUAGCGAGACUGCCGGUGACAAACCGGAGGAAGGCGGGGACGACGUCAGAUCAUCAUGCCCCUUAUGACCUGGGCUACACACGUGCUACAAUGGCGUAUACAACGAGUUGCCAACCUGUGAAGGUGAGCUAAUCUCUUAAAGUACGUCUCAGUUCGGACUGCAGUCUGCAACUCGACUGCACGAAGUCGGAAUCGCUAGUAAUCGCGGAUCAGCACGCCGCGGUGAAUACGUUCCCGGGUCUUGUACACACCGCCCGU